rnacentral:rRNA from 1 species
UGCAGUCGUGCGGUAACAUUUCUAGCUUGCUAGAAGAUGACGAGCGGCGGACGGGUGAGUAAUGCUUGGGAACAUGCCUUGAGGUGGGGGACAACCAUUGGAAACGAUGGCUAAUACCGCAUAAUGUCUACGGACCAAAGGGGGCUUCGGCUCUCGCCUUUAGAUUGGCCCAAGUGGGAUUAGCUAGUUGGUGAGGUAACGGCUCACCAAGGCGACGAUCCCUAGCUGGUUUGAGAGGAUGAUCAGCCACACUGGAACUGAGACACGGUCCAGACUCCUACGGGAGGCAGCAGUGGGGAAUAUUGCACAAUGGGCGCAAGCCUGAUGCAGCCAUGCCGCGUGUGUGAAGAAGGCCUUAGGGUUGUAAAGCACUUUCAGUCAGGAGGAAAGGUUAGUAGUUAAUACCUGCUAGCUGUGACGUUACUGACAGAAGAAGCACCGGCUAACUCCGUGCCAGCAGCCGCGGUAAUACGGAGGGUGCGAGCGUUAAUCGGAAUUACUGGGCGUAAAGCGUACGCAGGCGGUUUGUUACGCGAGAUGUGAAAGCCCCUGGCUUUACCUGGGAACUGCAUUUCGAACUGGGCAACUAGAGUGUGAUAUACGGUGGUAGAAUUUCAGGUGUACCGGUGAACUGCUAGAGAUCUGAAGGAAUACCGAUGGCUAAGGCAGUCACGUGGGUUAGCACUGACCGCCCAGUUACUAAAGCUUGUGGAGCAAAUCGGCAUUGAUGUCCUGUUUAAUCCACCCGCGUAACCA